rnacentral:rRNA from 1 species
AACGAACGCUGGCGGCAUGCCUAACACAUGCAAGUCGAACGAGACCUUCGGGUCUAGUGGCGCACGGGUGCGUAACGCGUGGGAACCUGCCCUUAGGUUCGGAAUAACUCCCCGAAAGGGGUGCUAAUACCGGAUAAUGUCUUCGGACCAAAGAUUUAUCGCCUUUGGAUGGGCCCGCGUUGGAUUAGCUAGUUGGUAGGGUAAAAGCCUACCAAGGCGACGAUCCAUAGCUGGUCUGAGAGGAUGAUCAGCCACACUGGGACUGAGACACGGCCCAGACUCCUACGGGAAGCAGCAGUGGGGAAUAUUGGACAAUGGGCGAAAGCCUGAUCCAGCAAUGCCGCGUGAGUGAUGAAGGCCUUAGGGUUGUAAAGCUCUUUUACCCGGGAUGAUAAUGACCGUACCGGGAGAAUAAGCUCCGGCUAACUCCGUG